rfam:Pseudomonas alkylphenolica strain KL28 chromosome, complete genome.
UUUUAUGGUGGCUGUGCGUGGGAGACCUUCGGGUCUGCCGGGUCCUAUAUCCUCGGUCUUGCACACCUGCGCACAGCUGCCACCCAU